rnacentral:rRNA from 1 species
UACUUGUACUGAUUGAGAUUUUAACACGAAGUGAGUGGCGAACGGGUGAGUAACACGUGGGUAACCUGCCCAGAAGUAGGGGAUAACACCUGGAAACAGAUGCUAAUACCGUAUAACAGAGAAAACCGCAUGGUUUUCUUUUAAAAGAUGGCUCUGCUAUCACUUCUGGAUGGACCCGCGGCGUAUUAGCUAGUUGGUGAGGUAAAGGCUCACCAAGGCAGUGAUACGUAGCCGACCUGAGAGGGUAAUCGGCCACAUUGGGACUGAGACACGGCCCAGACUCCUACGGGAGGCAGCAGUAGGGAAUCUUCCACAAUGGACGCAAGUCUGAUGGAGCAACGCCGCGUGAGUGAAGAAGGGUUUCGGCUCGUAAAGCUCUGUUGUUAAAGAAGAACGUGGGUAAGAGUAACUGUUUACCCAGUGACGGUAUUUAACCAGAAAGCCACGGCUAACUACGUGCCAGCAGCCGCGGUAAUACGUAGGUGGCAAGCGUUAUCCGGAUUUAUUGGGCGUAAAGCGAGCGCAGGCGGUCUUUUAAGUCUAAUGUGAAAGCCUUCGGCUCAACCGAAGAAGUGCAUUGGAAACUG